rnacentral:tRNA from 1 species
GCUUGUGUAGCUCAGUUGGUAUAGCGCAAGGUUCUUAACUUUAAGGUUGUGGGUUCGAGCCCCACCUUGAGCA